rnacentral:rRNA from 1 species
CCCAGACUCCUACGGGAGGCAGCAGUGGGGAAUAUUGGACAAUGGGGGGAACCCUGAUCCGGCGACGCCGCGUGAGUGAAGAAGUAUUUCGGUAUGUAAAGCUCUAUCAGCAGGGAAGAAAGAAAUGACGGUACCUGACUAAGAAGCCCCGGCUAACUACGUGCCAGCAGCCGCGGUAAUACGUAGGGGGCAAGCGUUAUCCGGAUUUACUGGGUGUAAAGGGGGCGCAGACGGCAGCGCAAGCCAGGAGUGAAAGCCCGGGGCCCAACCCCGGGACUGCUCUUGGAACUGCGCGGCUGGAGUGCAGGAGGGGCAGGCGGAAUUCCUGGUGUAGCGGUGAAAUGCGUAGAUAUCAGGAGGAACACCGGUGGCGAAGGCGGCCUGCUGGACUGCGACUGACGUUGAGGCUCGAAAGCGUGGGGAGCGGACAGGAUUAGAUACCCUCGUA